rnacentral:rRNA from 1 species
AUUGAACGCUGGCGGCAGGCCUAACACAUGCAAGUCGAACGGCAGCACGGUGCUUGCUUGUGGUUACGGCUGGCGAGUGGCGGACGGGGGCUAAGAACCUGCGUGGUUGUGUUUUCUUACGUGCUGACGCGGGCGCUCUUACGCCAUUCGUCCAUAGGGCCUAAGGGUGGGAGCAUCGGACCUUCCGCUCUCGCGUGAGCCUAUGUCGGAUUAGCUAGUUGGCGGGGUAAAGGCCUACCAAGGCGACGAUCCGUCGCUGGUCUGAGAGGAUGAUCAGACACACUGGAACUGAGACACGGUCCAGACUCCUACGGGAGGCAGCAGUGGGGAAUAUUGGACAAUGGGCGCAAGCCUGAUCCAGCCAUGCCGCGUGGGUGAAGAAGGUCUUCGGGUUGUAAAGCCCUUUUGUUGGGGAAGAAAGGCAGUAAGUUAAUACCCCGCUGUUUUGACGGUACCAAAAGAAUAAGCACCGGCUAACUUCGUG